rnacentral:rRNA from 1 species
AGACCCGAAACCCGGUGAUCUAGCCAUGGGCAGGUUGAAGGUUGGGUAACACUAACUGGAGGACCGAACCGACUAAUGUUGAAAAAUUAGCGGAUGACCUGUGGCUGGGGGUGAAAGGCCAAUCAAACCGGGAGAUAGCUGGUUCUCCCCGAAAGCUAUUUAGGUAGCGCCUCGUGAAUUCAUCUCCGGGGGUAGAGCACUGUUUCGGCUAGGGGGCCAUCCCGGCUUACCAACCCGAUGCAAACUGCGAAUACCGGAGAAUGUUAUCACGGGAGACACACGGCGGGUGCUAACGUCCGUCGUGAAGAGGGAAACAACCCAGACCGCCAGCUAAGGUCCCAAAGUCAUGGUUAAGUGGGAAACGAUGUGGGAAGGCCCAGACAGCCAGGAUGUUGGCUUAGAAGCAGCCAUCAUUUAAAGAAAGCGUAAUAGCUCACUGGUCGAGUCGGCCUGCGCGGAAGAUGUAACGGGGCUAAACCAUGCACCGAAGCUGCGGCAGCGACGCUUAUGCGUUGUUGGGUAGGGGAGCGUUCUGUAAGCCUGUGAAGGUGGCCUGUGAGGGUUGCUGGAGGUAUCAGAAGUGCGAAUGCUGACAUAAGUAACGAUAAAGCGGGUGAAAAGCCCGCUCGCCGGAAGACCAAGGGUUCCUGUCCAACGUUAAUCGGGGCAGGGUGAGUCGACCCCUAAGGCGAGGCCGAAAGGCGUAGUCGAUGGGAAACGGGUUAAUAUUCCCGUACUUGGUGUUACUGCGAAGGGGGGACGGAGAAGGCUAUGUUGGCCGGGCGACGGUUGUCCCGGUUUAAGCGUGUAGGUGUGUGUUCCAGGUAAAUCCGGUUCACUUUAACACUGAGGCGUGAUGACGAGGCACUACGGUGCUGAAGCAACAAAUGCCCUGCUUCCAGGAAAAGCCUCUAAGCAUCAGGUAACAUCAAAUCGUACCCCAAACCGACACAGGUGGUCAGGUAGAGAAUACCAAGGCGCUUGAGAGAACUCGGGUGAAGGAACUAGGCAAAAUGGUGCCGUAACUUCGGGAGAAGGCACGCUGACAUGUAGGUGAAGUGAUUUACUCAUGGAGCUGAAGUCAGUCGAAGAUACCAGCUGGCUGCAACUGUUUAUUAAAAACACAGCACUGUGCAAACACGAAAGUGGACGUAUACGGUGUGACGCCUGCCCGGUGCCGGAAGGUUAAUUGAUGGGGUCAGCGCAAGCGAAGCUCCUGAUCGAAGCCCCGGUAAACGGCGGCCGUAACUAUAACGGUCCUAAGGUAGCGAAAUUCCUUGUCGGGUAAGUUCCGACCUGCACGAAUGGCGUAAUGAUGGCCAGGCUGUCUCCACCCGAGACUCAGUGAAAUUGAACUCGCUGUGAAGAUGCAGUGUACCCGCGGCAAGACGGAAAGACCCCGUGAACCUUUACUAUAGCUUGACACUGAACAUUGAGCCUUGAUGUGUAGGAUAGGUGGGAGGCUUUGAAGUGUGGACGCCAGUCUGC